GGGUGAGGAAUGCAUGGGUAAUCUACCAUCGAGUGGGGAAUAACCAGCCGAAAGGCUGGCUAAUACCGCGUACGCUUCCGGGUUUUCGGGUCCGGAAGGAAAGCCAUGCCGUGGGUAUGGCGCUCUUUGAUGAGCUCAUGUCCUAUCAGCUUGUUGGUAGGGUAACGGCCUACCAAGGCUUUGACGGGUAGCUGGUCUGAGAGGACGAUCAGCCACACUGGCACUGCGACACGGGCCAGACUCCUACGGGAGGCAGCAGUAAGGAAUAUUGCGCAAUGGGCGACAGCCUGACGCAGCGACGCCGCGUGGGGGAUGAAGGUCUUCGGAUUGUAAACCCCUUUCGGGAGGGAAGAUGGGGCAGGUAACUGCUCGGACGGUACCUCCAGAAGCAGCCACGGCCAACUUCGUGCCAGCAGCCGCGGUAAUACGAAGGUGGCAAGCGUUGUUCGGAUUCACUGGGCGUACAGGGUGUGUAGGCGGUUUGGUAAGCCUUCUGUUAAAUCUUCGGGCCCAACCCGGAAAGCGCAGAGGGGACUGCCAGGCUAGAGGGCGGGAGAGGAGCGCGGAAUUCCCGGUGUAGCGGUGAAAUGCGUAGAGAUCGGGAGGAAGGCCGGUGGCGAAGGCGCGCUCUGGAACGUACCUGACGCUGAGACACGAAAGCGUGGGGAGCAAACAGGAUUAGAUACCCUGGUAGUCCACGCCCUAAACUUUGGAUACUAGUGUCGGCGGUUACCGCCGGGGCCGCAGCUACGCAUUAGUAUCCC
rnacentral:rRNA from 1 species